GAGAGUUAAACAGUACGUGAAAUUGUUGAAAGGGAAACGAUUGAAGCCAGUCGUACCUUCGGGUAAUCAGCCUUUCGGGUGCGAUUCUGUGGAGUUUGAGGAGCUUAACACCUUCAUGCUUUGCAUAUUCGUGCUCUUGGGUGUACUUGCUCGUAUGGUUGGUUAACAUCAAUUUUGGUGGUCAUAAAAUGACUGGAGGAAUGUAGCUUCGAUCUCGUAUUGAAGUGUUAUAGCCUUCGGUAGAUGUGAUGACUGAGAUUGAGGAUUGCAACGGAUACCCUUCGGGGCUACCUGUCUGAUCUCUGAUCGUUGCUCUGGUGCCGAAAGCUUGCUUACGGUUGUCAAAGUCGAUGGUCAAUAGGUUAGAAUGGGUUAAAUUCGUUAAGGAUGUUGACGUAAUGGCUUUAAACGA
rnacentral:rRNA from 1 species